rnacentral:lncRNA from 1 species
GCUGCUAUGAAACUGGUGAAACCUUUCAACUGAAGCUGCUCCCGUGCCUGCCUAGGAAUUUUGGGAAGGAAUUUUGGAAGUGGAGAAGGAACAACCUCAUCCAGGCUGCUGCCAGCUGCUGCCAAAGACUUCUCUUCCCUUUGGAAUUCCACCUGGGAAGUGUCACCUAACCAAAACCUCCACCAAAAUAUUCCUGGUUUUCCAGACAUCUGUGUUUUGUUUGAGUUUUCCUGCUGCUCUGUCUGGCUUCUGUUUGUCUCAUAUCCCGUGGCCACGUGGAAGGGAUGGAGACGUCAGGAUAUUUUGGAUCCCUGUUUUUAUGGGUAAGAUUUGGGUUUGGAAUGGUGGGGAGGGGGGAAGGGGUUUUGGGGAAAAAUGGUUUUGGGGGAU